CAGCCUCUCAACCUGCUUAAUACCAGCUAUGCUAUGCUCAUAAGAAGGCAUUCCUGGGACCUUAUAUCCUACUAUGUUUACAAGUAAAGAGUUUACAGCUUUGUCUGCUGGUGGUAUUUGUGAGAAGAAACUUUCUUCCAUAUAUACAUUGCAAAACACUUUACUUCUGGAGUGCGAUCAUCUUAAGAUCUGCACAGCCAAUGGGAAUUCAAAAGAGUCCUAGAUCUAAUGUUGAAAGGAGGCUUCACGAAGAUGGUUUGUCUCUUCCCAGCAACUUUUUAGUAAAAAGCUUAACUGUUGACUACUGUGAUAUCAAUUGCAAGGUCAGCUGAAUUUGAC
rnacentral:lncRNA from 1 species